AAAGCAAGCAUGAUGAAUCAAUUAGAUGUCUGAGAUAGAUUUUCCAUUCCUGAGUGUUAAAACCUUGAGGCGUUUAUAAUUUUUUUUGACUUGGAAUUU
rnacentral:snoRNA from 1 species